UACGUAGGCAGCAAGCGUUGUUCGGAAUUACUGGGCGUAAAGAGUGUGUAGGCGGUGCUCCAAGUCUGGUGUGAAAUCUCCCGGCUUAACUGGGAGGGUGCAUUAGAAACUGGAAUGCUAGAGGAUGGGAGAGGUAAGCGGAAUUCCUGGUGUAGCGGUGAAAUGCGUAGAUAUCAGGAGGAACACCUGUGGUGUAGACAGCUUACUGGACCAUUUCUGACGCUGAGACACGAAAGCGUGGGUAGAAAACAGG
rnacentral:rRNA from 1 species